rnacentral:rRNA from 1 species
CAGUAGCCACGGGAAUACGUAGGUGGCAAGCGUUGUCCGGAAUUAUUGGGCGUAAAGGGCUCGCAGGCGGUUUCUUAAGUCUGAUGUGAAAGCCCCCGGCUCAACCUGGGAGGGUCAUUGGAAACUGGGAAACUUGAGUGCAGAAGAGGAGAGUGGAAUUCCACGUGUAGCGGUGAAAUGCGUAGAGAUGUGGAGGAACACCAGUGGCGAAGGCGACUCUCUGGUCUGUAACUGACGCUGAGGAGCGAAAGCGUGGGGAGCGAACAGGAUUAGAUACCCCAGUAGUCCCUGUCUCUUAUAC